rnacentral:rRNA from 1 species
CCCUAGUAACGGCGAGUGAAGCGGCAACAGCUCAAAUUUGAAAUCUGGCUUCGGCCCGAGUUGUAAUUUGCAGAGGAAGCUUUAGGCGCGGCACCAUCUGAGUCCCCUGGAACGGGGCGCCAUAGAGGGUGAGAGCCCCGUAUAGAUGGACGCCUAGCCUGUGUAAAGCUCCUUCGACGAGUCGAGUAGUUUGGGAAUGCUGCUCAAAAUGGGAGGUAAAUUUCUUCUAAAGCUAAAUAUUGGCCAGAGACCGAUAGCGCACAAGUAGAGUGAUCGAAAGAUGAAAAGCACUUUGAAAAGAGGGUUAAAUAGCACGUGAAAUUGUUGAAAGGGAAGCGCUUGUGACCAGACUUGCGCCGGGCGGAUCAUCCGGUGUUCUCACCGGUGCACUCCGCCCGGCUCAGGCCAGCAUCGGUUCUCGCGGGGGGAUAAAGGCCCUGGGAACGUAGCUCCUCCGGGAGUGUUAUAGCCCGGGGCGUAAUGCCCUCGCGGGGACCGAGGACCGCGCAUCUGCAAGGAUGCUGGCGUAAUGGUCAUCAGCGACCCGUCUUGAAACACGGACCAAGGAGUCAAGGUUUUGCGCGAGUGUUUGGGUGUAAAACCCGCACGCGUAAUGAAAGUGAACGUAGGUGAGAGCUUCGGCGCAUCAUCGACCGAUCCUGAUGUUUUCGGAUGGAUUUGAGUAGGAGCGUUAACCUUGGACCCGAAAGAUGGUGAACUAUGCUUGGAUAGGGUGAAGCCAGAGGAAACUCUGGUGGAGGCUCGCAGCGGUUCUGACGUGCAAAUCGAUCGUCAAAUCUGAGCAUGGGGCGAAAGACUAAUCGA